rnacentral:rRNA from 1 species
GACGAACGCUGGCGGCGUGCUUAACACAUGCAAGUCGAACGGAAAGGCCCUGCUUUUGUGGGGUGCUCGAGUGGCAAACGGGUGAGUAACACGUGAGUAACCUGCCCUUUACUUUGGGAUAACUUCAGGAAACUGGGGCUAAUACCGGAUAGGAGCUCCUGCUGCAUGGUGUGGGUUGGAAAGUUUCGGCGGAUGGGGAUGGACGCGCGGCUUAUCAGCUUGUUGGUGGGGUAGUGGCUUACCAAGGCUUUGACGGGUAGCCGGCCUGAGAGGGUGACCGGCCACAUUGGGACAGAGAUACGGCCCAGACGCCUACGGGAGGCAGCAGUGGGGAAUAUUGCACAAUGGGCGGAAGGCUGAUGCAGCAACGCCGCGUGCGAGAUGACGGCCUUCGGGUUGUAACCCGCUUUCGCCUGUGACGAAGCGUGAGUGACGGUAAUGGGUAAAGAAGCACCGGCUAACUACGUG